UAAAAUGAAGCUGCACCCCUCCUAUACCUGCCGGAAACUACAUCUCUCUGCACACACCCUGGGGUAAUACGCACUGCACCCGGCGAGUUACCUGGAAUACGUUUACUAAAUCGACAGGAAGAAGGAAAGAUCAAUGCGAUUCAAGUGCUGACGGUUGUACUCGUGAAGGAAAAAAACAAAUGCAAGCCGGGAAGUCCCCAGUGGUGCCUGCACCUAGGAGGCGACUGCAACGGAUGGAUGCGGGGGUAGAUAAUCAGCAACCCCCCAAGACUGUGCCUGCUGCACAACUACAGAACGCAGUGGAAGACACGCUGAAUUCUGAGUCAGAAGGUUGACUUUCUAGCUGUGGGGACUUGGCCAAACCUCCUCAGAGCUUCAGUUUUCUCAUCUGUAAAAUAGAGAUCUUAAUCCCUACCAAUCUCACAGGACUGCUGAGAGUAUCAGAUGAGAUUCUCAAAGCAAUCCUGUAUGGUGAGAAUUAUUUUUAUUUUACCGACAAAGCUGCUGAAGAUCAGAGACAUUGAGUUACUCAUAGAAGAUAUACAGACAGAGCCAAGAUUCAAAUCCCUUGGGUGUCUGGCUCCAAAGUGGAAAUUUUCUCCACGGUGCCAAAGGACUCAUAAACAGAAUGUACAAAGGACUCUUACAAAUCAGUAAUAAAAGGACAAUCAAUGUUUUUAAACAAGCAGAAGACUUCGAUAAACACCACAUAAAAGAGAAUGCAUGCAUGGCCAAUGAGAACAUAAAAAAGAUGCUCAGCGUUGUUGGUCGUCAGGGAAGUGCAGAUUGAAAAUGCAAUGGGAUACCACUACACACCCGCCAGAAUGGUUAAAAUUUAAAAAUUUUAACAGUACCAAAUGUUAGAGAGGCUGUGAAGCAGCAGGAUGUUUUAUGCAUGGCCAGCAAAAGUAUAAAAUGGUAGAGCCAUUUGGAAAACUGGCAUUUUCUCAUAAAUAUUCACCUAUCAUGUGAUCUAAAAAUUCCAAAAGAAAUGAAACUAUAUGUCUAC
rnacentral:lncRNA from 1 species